CGCCUCUUGCAAUCAAAUAUAUAAGAGGUCCCGCCUGCCCUGUGACUUGUUAGUUUAACGGCCGCGGUAUUUUGACCGUGCGAAGGUAGCGUAAUCACUUGUCUUUUAAAUGGAGACCAGUAUGAAUGGCAUAACGAGGGCCAAGCUGUCUCCUUUUUCUAGUCAAUGAAAUUGAUCCCCCCGUGCAGAAGCGGGGAUAUUAACAUAAGACGAGAAGACCCUAUGGAGCUUUAGACAAAAGGCAGCCCAUGUUAAAACCCCAGAUAAAUGGAAACAACGAAAUGGUAUCUGCCCUCCUGUCUUUGGUUGGGGCGACCGCGGGGAAACAAAAAACCCCCAUGUGGAAUAGGGAUUAUACCCUUAAAGCUAGAGCCACAGCUCUCACUAACAGAAUAUCUGACCAAAAAGAUCCGGCUAAGCCGAUCAACGGACCGAGUUACCCUAGGGAUAACAGCGCAAUCCCCUUUUAGAGCCCAUAUCGACAAGGGGGUUUACGACCUCGAUGUUGGAUCAGGACCCCCUAAUGGUGCAGCCGCUAUUAAGGGUUCGUUUGUUCAACGAUUAAAGUCCU
rnacentral:rRNA from 1 species